AUAAAAAUAGCAAAAAGUGCGCUAGAUUUAAGCUCUAGACAUGAAGAUGAAAGCUCUUCUUUUUAUA
rnacentral:tRNA from 1 species